UUCCUCUUCCGAUCUCGACGAAAUGCUUCAGGGAGUUGAAAAUAAGCAUAGAUCCGGAGAUUCCUGAAUAGGUCAACCUUUCAAACUGCUGCUGAAUCCAUGGGCAGACAAGAGACAA